GACGAACGCUGGCGGCGUGCUUAACACAUGCAAGUCGAACGGAAAGGCCCUGCUUUUGUGGGGUGCUCGAGUGGCGAACGGGUGAGUAACACGUGAGUAACCUGCCCUUGACUUUGGGAUAACUUCAGGAAACUGGGGCUAAUACCGGAUAGGAGCUCCUGCUGCAUGGUGGGGGUUGGAAAGUUUCGGCGGUUGGGGAUGGACUCGCGGCUUAUCAGCUUGUUGGUGGGGUAGUGUCUUACCAAGGCUUUGACGGGUAGCCGGCCUGAGAGGGUGACCGGCCACAUUGGGACUGAGAUACGGCCCAGACUCCUACGGGAGGCAGCAGUGGGGAAUAUUGCACAAGGGGCGGAAGCCUGAUGCAGCAACGCCGCGUGCGGGAUGACGGCCUUCGGGUUGUAAACCGCUUUCGCCAGUGACGAAGCGUGAGUGACGGUAAUGGGUAAAGAAGCACCGGCUAACUACGUG
rnacentral:rRNA from 1 species